rnacentral:rRNA from 1 species
AGUGAACGCUGGCGGUAGGCCUAACACAUGCAAGUCGAACGGCAGCACAGUAAGAGCUUGCUCUUACGGGUGGCGAGUGGCGGACGGGUGAGGAAUACAUCGGAAUCUACUUUUUCGUGGGGGAUAACGUAGGGAAACUUACGCUAAUACCGCAUACGACCUACGGGUGAAAGCAGGGGAUCUUCGGACCUUGCGCGAUUGAAUGAGCCGAUGUCGGAUUAGCUAGUUGGCGGGGUAAAGGCCCACCAAGGCGACGAUCCGUAGCUGGUCUGAGAGGAUGAUAGACCACACUGGAAAUGAGAAACGGUCCAAACCCCCAGGGGGGGCAGCAGGGGGGAAUAUUGGAAAAGGGGGCAAAUCCUGACCCAGCCAUACCGGGGGGGGGAAGAAGGCCUUCGGGUUGUAAAGCCCUUUUUUUGGGAAAAAAAAGCAGCAGGUUAAUCCCCCGCUGUUUUGGCGGUACCAAAAAAAAAAGCACCGGCUAAUUUCGG